UUUUAAACAAAUAAUAAUAAUUUUUUAAAAGAAAAUUAAAAGGACGCANUAACCUGACUGUGAUAAUGUAGCAUAAUCAUUCGCCACUUAAUUGGUGGAUAGUAUGAAUGGUUGAACGAGUUCUUCCCUGUCUUAACAAAAGAAGCCAUGAAAUUAAAAUUAUAGUUAAGAUGCUAUUUAAAAUUGUAAGACGAAAAGACCCUAUAGAGCUUAACUAUAUACUUUUUUUAACAAUAGAAUCUAAAUUCUAAAAAUAAAAAGUUAGGUAGUUUAGUUGGGGCGACUAUCUUCUAAAAAUAACGAAGACAAGCAAUGUUAAUAAUUAACUUAUUGUAUAAUAAAUAAAUUUAACAAUUACAAAAGUAGGCUAUAAUGACCCGUUAUAAUAAAAAAAUAUUCAUAACGAUCAAUAAAUAAAAGCUACCUUAGGGAUAACAGGAUAAUUUUAUUUUAGAGAUCUCAUCGAAAAUAAAGUUUGUCACCUCUAUGUUGAAUUAAGAUAUCCAGAUA
rnacentral:rRNA from 1 species